rnacentral:piRNA from 1 species
CNCUACUGUUAGUCCAUCUACUGGGGUGU